CGGGAGGCAGCAGUGGGGAAUAUUGCACAAUGGGCGCAAGCCUGAUGCAGCCAUGCCGCGUGUAUGAAGAAGGCCUUCGGGUUGUAAAGUACUUUCAGCGGGGAGGAAGGGAGUAAAGUUAAUACCUUUGCUCAUUGACGUUAUCCGCAGAAGAAGCACCGGCUAACUCCGUGCCAGCAGCCGCGGUAAUACGGAGGGUGCAAGCGUUAAUCGGAAUUACUGGGCGUAAAGCGCACGCAGGCGGUUUGUUAAGUCAGAUGUGAAAUCCCCGGGCUCAACCUGGGAACUGCAUCUGAUACUGGCAAGCUUGAGUCUCGUAGAGGGGGGUAGAAUUCCAGGUGUAGCGGUGAAAUGCGUAGAGAUCUGGAGGAAUACCGGUGGCGAAGGCGGCCCCCUGGACGAAGACUGACGCUCAGGUGCGAAAGCGUGGGGAGCAAACAGGAUUAGAUACCCUGGUAGUCCACGCCGUAAACGAUGUCGACUUGGAGGUUGUGCCCUUGAGGCGUGGCUUCCGGAGCUAACGCGUUAAGUCGACCGCCUGGGGAGUACGGCCGCAAGGUUAAAACUCAAAUGAAUUGACGGGGGCCCGCACAAGCGGUGGAGCAUGUGGUUUAAUUCGAUGCAACGCGAAGAACCUUACCUGGUCUUGACAUCCACGGAAGUUUUCAGAGAUGAGAAUGUGCCUUCGGGAACCGUGAGACAGGUGCUGCAUGGCUGUCGUCAGCUCGUGUUGUGAAAUGUUGGGUUAAGUCCCGCAACGAGCGCAACCCUUAUCCUUUGUUGCCAGCGGUCCGGCCGGGAACUCAAAGGAGACUGCCAGUGAUAAACUGGAGGAAGGUGGGGACGACGUCAAGUCAUCAUGGCCCUUACGACCAGGGCUACACACGUGCUACAAUGGCGCAUACAAAGAGAAGCGACCUCGCGAGAGCAAGCGGACCUCAUAAAGUGCGUCGUAGUCCGGAUUGGAGUCUGCAACUCGACUCCAUGAAGUCGGAAUCGCUAGUAAUCGUGGAUCAGAAUGCCACGGUGAAUACGUUCCCGGGCCUUGUACACACCGCCCGUCACACCAUGGGAGUGGGUUGCAAAAGAAGUAGGUAGCUUAACCUUCGGGAGGGCGCUUACCACUUUGUGAUUCAUGACUGGGGUGAAGUCGUAACAAGGUAACCGUAGGGGAACCUGCGGUUGGAUCACCUCCUU
rnacentral:rRNA from 1 species